UGGGGAAUAUUGGACAAUGGAGGAAACUCUGAUCCAGCAAUUCUGUGUGUGUGAAGAAGGUUUUAGGACUGUAAAACACUUUUAGUAGGGAAGAAAAAAAUGACGGUACCUACAGAAGAAGCAACGGCUAAAUACGUGCCAGCAGCCGCGGUAAUACGUAUGUUGCGAGCGUUAUCCGGAAUUAUUGGGCUUAAAGGGCAUCUAGGCGGUAAGACAAGUUGAAGGUGAAAACCUGUGGCUCAACCAUAGGCUUGCCUACAAAACUGUUGAACUAGAGUACUGGAAAGGUGGGUGGAACUACACGAGUAGAGGUGAAAUUCGUAGAUAUGUGUAGGAAUGCCGAUGAUGAAGAUAACUCACUGGACAGAAACUGACGCUGAAGUGCGAAAGCGAGGGGAGCAAACAGG
rnacentral:rRNA from 1 species